rnacentral:rRNA from 1 species
UACGGAGGGUGCAAGCGUUAUCCGGAUUCACUGGGUUUAAAGGGUGCGUAGGUGGCUUUGUAAGUCAGUGGUGAAAUCUUAGAGCUUAACUCUAAAACUGCCAUUGAUACUGCUUAGCUUGAAUCAAGUAGAGGUGGAUGGAAUAUUACAUGUAGCGGUGAAAUGCUUAGAUAUGUAAUAGAACACCAAUUGCGAAGGCAGCUCACUACGCGAAUAUUGACACUGAGGCACGAAAGCGUGGGGAUCAAACAGG